AGAGUUUGAUCAUGGCUCAGAACGAACGCUGGCGGCGUGCCUAACACAUGCAAGUCGAGCGAGAAAAGGGCUUCGGCCCCUAGUAAAGCGGCGCACGGGUGCGUAACACGUGGGUAAUCUGCCUUUGGGACCGGAACAACCUUCCGAAAGGAGGGCUAAUGCCGGAUAAGCCCACGGGGUCUUCGGACCCUGGGGGAAAAGAUGGCCUCUGUAUACAAGCUAUCACCUGAAGAUGAGCCCGCGGCCCAUCAGCUAGUUGGCGGGGUAAUGGCCCACCAAGGCAACGACGGGUAGCUGGUCUGAGAGGACGAUCAGCCACACUGGAACUGAGACACGGUCCAGACUCCUACGGGAGGCAGCAGUGGGGAAUCUUGCACAAUGGGCGAAAGCCUGAUGCAGCAACGCCGCGUGAGUGAUGAAGGUCUUCGGAUCGUAAAGCUCUUUCGGCAGGGAAGAAAGGUUCCGGUGUGAACAAUGCCGGGAUUUGACGGUACCUGCAGAAGAAGCACCGGCUAACUCUGUGCCAGCAGCCGCGGUAAUACAGAGGGUGCGAGCGUUGUUCGGAAUUAUUGGGCGUAAAGCGCGUGUAGGCGGGACGGUAAGUCGGGUGUGAAAGCCCUCAGCUCAACUGAGGAAGUGCGCCCGAAACUACCGUUCUUGAGUGCCGGAGAGGGUGGCGGAAUUCCCGGUGUAGAGGUGAAAUUCGUAGAUAUCGGGAGGAACACCAGUGGCGAAGGCGGCCACCUGGACGGACACUGACGCUGAGACGCGAAAGCGUGGGGAGCAAACAGGAUUAGAUACCCCAGUAGUCC
rnacentral:rRNA from 1 species